rnacentral:rRNA from 1 species
GAUGAACGCUGGCGGCGUGCCUAAUACAUGCAAGUCGAGCGAACGGACGAGAAGCUUGCUUUUCUGAUGUUAGCGGCGGACGGGUGAGUAACACGUGGAUAACCUACCUAUAAGACUGGGGUAACUUCGGGAAACCGGAGCUAAUACCGGAUAAUAUGUUGAACCGCAUGGUUCAAAAGUGAAAGACGGUCUUGCUGACACUUAUAGAUGGAUCCGCGCUGCAUUAGCUAGUUGGUAAGGUAACGGCUUACCAAGGCAACGAUGCGUAGCCGACCUGAGAGGGUGAUCGGCCACACUGGAACUGAGACACGGUCCAGACUCCUACGGGAGGCAGCAGUGGGGAAUCUUCGGCAAUGGGCGAAAGCCUGAUCGAGCCACGCCGCGUGUGUGAAGAAGGUCUUCGGAUUGUAAAGCACUGUUAUUAGGGAGGAACAGAUGUGUAAGUAACUGUGCACAUCUUGACGGUACCUAAACAGAAAGCCACGGCUAACUACGUG